UCGGUCGGUCGGCUAUUACCGAGUCGGAGUCGGGAGUUGGUUGGCUUGAGUCGGGAGACAGUUGGUUUAUCCCAACACCGUCCAUGAUGUAUGAAGAAUUUCGUUUAGCAGAAUAUAUAACAACCAGUUCACCGGUGGAAUGACCAUGACGCUACAAUAAGUUCUUAAACCUUUGGCAAAAGAUUUGUAGCUUGUUCAAUCUU
rnacentral:lncRNA from 1 species